rnacentral:snoRNA from 1 species
AUCAUCAAGAUGACGAAAUCAGAAAAUCUUAGGACACCUUCUGACACAGUACGAGGUUGCUGUGUAUGAGAAAGAUUUUCAUUUCUGAUAUGCGAUGAU